rnacentral:rRNA from 1 species
UACGGGGGGAGCAAGCGUUGUUCGGAUUUACUGGGCGUAAAGGGCGCGUAGGCGGCCAGCACAAGUCAGUUGGUGAAAUCUCCGAGCUUAACUCGGAACGGUCAACUGAUACUGUGCAGCUAGAGUGCAGAAGGGGCAACUGGAAUUCUUGGUGUAGCGGUGAAAUGCGUAGAUAUCAAGAGGAACACCUGCGGCGAAGGCGGGUUGCUGGGCUGACACUGACGCUGAGGCGCGAAAGCUAGGGGGAGCGAACGGG